AUUGAACGCUGGCGGCAGGCCUAACACAUGCAAGUCGAGCGAGUGGCGGACGGGUGAGUAAUGUCUGGGAAACUGCCUGAUGGAGGGGGAUAACUACUGGAAACGGUAGCUAAUACCGCAUACCAUCGGAUGUGCCCAGAUGGGAUUAGCUAGUAGGUGGGGUAACGUCUCACCUAGGCGACGGUCCCUAGCUGGUCUGAGAGGAUGACCAGCCACACUGGAACUGAGACACGGUCCAGACUCCUACGGUAGGCAGCAGUGGGGAAUAUUGCACAAUGGGCGCAAGCCUGAUGCAGCCAUGCCGCGUGUGUGAAGAAGGCCUUCGGGUUGUAAAGCACUUUCAGCGGGGAGGCGUUACUCGCAGAAGAAGCACCGGCUAACUCCGUGCCAGCAGCCGCGGUAAUUC
rnacentral:rRNA from 1 species